GACGAACGCUGGCGGCGUGCUUAACACAUGCCAGUCGAACGGAAGGGCCCUGCUUUUGUGGGGUGCUCGAGUGGCGAACGGGUGAGUAACACGUGAGUAACCUGCCCUUGACUUUGGGAUAACUUCAGGAAACUGGGGCUAAUACCGGAUAGGAGCUCCUGCUGCAUGUUGGGGGUUGGAAAGUUUCGGCGGUUGGGGAUGGACUCGCGGCUUAUCAGCUUGUUGGUGGGGUAGUGGCUUACCAAGGCUUUGACGGGUAGCCGGCCUGAGAGGGUGACCGGCCACAUGGGGACUGAGAUACGGCCCAGAAUGCUACGGGAGGCAGCGGUGGGGAAUAUUGCGCAAUGGGCGGAAGCCUGAGACAGCGACGCCGCGUGCGGGAUGACGGCCUUCGGGUUGUAAACCGCUUUCGCCGGUGACGAAGCGUGAGUGACGGUAAUGGGUAAAGAAGCACCGGCUAACUACGUG
rnacentral:rRNA from 1 species